rnacentral:tRNA from 2 species
GCCACCUUAGCUCAGCUAGCCAGAGCAGCGCAUUCGUAAUGCGAAGGUCCCCAGUGCAAAUCUGGGAGGUGGCU